UAAAAUUAAGGGGGAAAAAAAGAUUGCUAACGGAGGUUGAACCCGUGAUCUUGAGGGAGCAAAUGAGAUGUUCUCUUCCACUCACACAAGAAGGCACUUUAGUAUUGUGGGUGGCAUGUUUUUAUUUUGAUUAUAUCUGUGUAUAUAUAUAGAGAGAGAAAGCUUCCGUCGAAAUUUACGGGUGGCAUGACACCUUCACCGCUCUUAAUGGAGGCACCCCUGCAAGUAAGGUAGAUUCUGCCACUCAUUAGUGGGAAUAAUACCGACCGACAUUAUUGUCACAUCAUUCAUUUGACUCACCAAAAAAUGUUACUCACUCCGUUUCAAAAAGCUCCUACAUUUGAAAGGCAAAUUUCACUUGUGUUUAACAAAAUACAUAGUAUCAUUUAAAAGACACCCAGUAGAAACCAUAUAAAUGUGGUGUGCCUAUUUGGCUGAAGCAGCAGCAGUGGACUCAAAUGGUGUGCAUCCAAUAGUUUCAGUUUGGGUUUUUGGGGAAACUGGCUCUCUUCUGAUUACUAAAUGCAUUAGAAAGGAGUGGAAAAUCCCUUGAAGAAUAAACAUCAUAAACGAGAAUUUGACAUCAAUUAUUGCCUCAUCAGAGAAGAAAAUAGGUUCGGAGACAAGCUAGCAAGUCUUAAGUCACAGCCUUUAUAAAAUUUGUCUUCAACUCCUCUACUCUCCCCUCUCUAGUGAAAGGAUUUAUCAACAUGAAUAGAUGGGACCUUGCCUCCUUUAAGAUCAAAC
rnacentral:lncRNA from 1 species